AGUGGAAUUAUUCAGUAUUUUUGCAUCUAUUUGAGUUUCUUACUAAAACAACAGCUGCUUCGUGAGUUAUAGAGACGCUGAAAUACUAAGAACAGAAACGAAACGGCAUCAACACACCUCCUCCACACUCAACAAACGGAUGCUGUUCGUGAGAUGAGAGAGAGCGAGCGCAUCUCAUUUCCCUCUCCGUUUUAUACACAGAUAGUAAGUAGUAAGCUGUGUCAGUGACGCAUAUACAGGUGUAGAAGUAGUUCUGUGCAUAUAGAAUAAUUAGGCUAUUUACUUCCGCCUUUAAGCAGUAUUUAUAAAGUAGCCUAAUGUAUAUACCGUAAAAAUAUUUUAAAAAGUUUAAACAUUUUUACGGAGGCACGCAACCGUCUCCUAGUUCCAAAAAUAAAUGCUUUGAGCUGAAGCGCAACAUCCGCCCGUUGCCAUCAUGAAGACAGGCUGCGGAGUCGCUCUCUACCGUACGCCGGGCCCUGAUUGGAUCGAAUAACCACCUGUGACGUCAGGUGACCUCGAUUGAUCGCAGGAGGCGGAGCCCAGUGACAACUCCGUGGAGUACACAGAGUGGACUACAACGUCUCCCUAAAGAACUACAACCCCCACAGAGAGUAUCACAGAGAAGGUGACCACAACCUCCCGAUCCUAACCCUCCUCUUCUUCAGGACUACAACGUCUCCCUAAAGAACUACAACCCCCUGAACUCCACAGGACUACAACUCAACGUCUCCCUAAAGAACUACAACCCCCACAGAGAGCAUCACAGAGAAGGUGACCACCACCCCCUGAUCCUAACCCUCCUCUACUUCAGGACUACAACAUCUCCCUAAUGAACUACAACCCCCUGAGCUCCACAGGACUACAACUCAACGUCUCCCUAAAGAACUACAACCCCCACAGAGAGCAUCACAGAGAAGGUGACCACAACCCCCUGAUCCUAACCCUCCUCUACUUCAGGACUACAACAUCUCCCUAAUGAACUACAACCCCCUGAGCUCCACAGGACUACAACUCAACGUCUCCCUAAAGAACUACAACCCCCACAGAGAGCAUCACAGAGAAAGUGACCACAACCCCCUGAUCUCAACCCUCCUCUGCUUCAGGACUACAACUCAACCUCUCCCUAAAGAACUACAACCCCCACAGAGAGCAUCACAGAGAAGGUGACCACAACCUCCUGAUCCUAACCCUCCUCUACUUCAGGACUACAACGUCUCCCUAAAGAACUACAACCCCCACAGAGAGCAUCACAGAGAAGGUGACCACCAUCACUAUGGAUGUCACAACCCCCUGAUCCUAACCCUCCUCUACUUCAGGACUACAACGUCUCCCUAAAGAACUACAACCCCCAGGGUUCCGAGCGGAGCAGCCAUGAACACAGAGACCCAGGUGAAGUGUGUGCUGGUGGGGGACAGUGCUGUGGGGAAGACGGCCCUCCUGGUUCGCUUCACCUCAGAGACCUUCCCUGAGUGCUACAAACCAACUGUGUAUGAGAACACUGGAGUAGAGGUCUUCAUGGACGGGGCUCCGAUCAACCUGGGUUUGUGGGACACGGCAGGAAAUGACACGUUUAGACAGAUCCGUCCGAUGUCCUAUCAGCAGGCGGAUGUGGUCCUGAUCUGCUACUCCGUGGCCAACGCCGCCUCCCUCGCCAGCGUCAAGCACAAGUGGCUGGUAGAGGUGCGUGACAACCUUCCCCGUGUCCCGGUGCUGGUGGUGGCCACCCAGACGGACCAGCGUGACUCCGGGCCUCACAGCGCCUCCUGCUCCUCCGCCGCCGAGGGCAAACGCCUCGCUCAGGACAUACGGGCCAAGGGAUACCUGGAGUGCUCGUCGCUAAGCAACCGCGGCGUGCAGCAAGUGUUCGAGUGUGCGGUGAGGACGGCGGUGAACCAGGCCAGGAAACGGACGCGCCCGCGGAUGUUUGAUAUCAACAGCUGCGUGGUGUUUUGACCUCUGAACCUUUUGGGGGGAGGGGCCUAGGUUGGGGUGGUGCUGGGAGGAUACUGAAGCCUCUAACUACUGCUCUGGGAUCAGGUCUCGGGGCCAGUGGCGACUCAGACUCGGACUCAUCACCAGGGACUUGAGACUGACGGGUUUAGUGACUCGACUACAUCACUAUGUCUGACUUGAACUGUUCGAGGUCCUGUCUGACCCCAGGACCUGUGGUUUUGGGGGAACUGAGGUCCUGUCUGACCCCAGGACCUGUGGUUUUGGGGGAACUGAGGUCCUGUCUGACCCCAGGACCUGUGGUUUUGGGGGAACUGAGGUCCUGUCUGACCCCAGGACCUGUGGUUUUGGGGGAACUGAGGUCCUGUCUGACCCCAGGACCUGUGGUUUUGGGGGAACUGAGGUCCUGUCUGACCCCAGGACCUGUGGUUUUGGGGGAACUGAGGUCCUGUCUGACCCCAGGACCUGUGGUUUUGGGGGAACUCUUGUUUAACUGUUGUUUUUGUUGUGAAAACUGAAACUUUGUAAAACUACAAAGGAACAAACAAAACAGGAUCAUUCCUGGAGGAGCAGAGAGAGAGAGACAAGAGUGGUUAGUGAAGCAGUUUAAAUACCCUGAGCCCAGGUGGCUCCAAUCCCUAACGACCCUCCUCCGCCUGCUAGAGGAACCGCCCCUGUGGUGACAUUAUCCCUGGAGGACAAUCACUAACGACCCUCCUCCGCCUGCUAGAGGAACCGCCCCUCCCGCAAGAGGAACCGCCCCUCCUGCAAGAGGAACCGCCCCUCCUGCUAGAGGAACCUCCCCUCCCGCAAGAGGAACCGCCCCUCCUGCUAGAGGAACCGCCCCUCCUGCAAGAGGAACCGCCCCUCCUGCUAGAGGAACCGCCCCUCCUGCUAGAGGAACCGCCCCUCCUGCGAGAG